GUGUAGAUGGAGGCUUCUGGAAGGCUAUGGUCUGGGGGUGUCUUAUUCACCCAACAGCUGUUGGCUCUGGUGAGCAGCACAUCCUGCCAGGGAACUCUGACCAGGCCUGCAGAGCCCACCUGGGAGCAGGCGGGAGUCAGCAUGGGCUCGCAGCCUAUCCUGGAGCCUCGCCGACCUGUUUCCUCCUCAGGCCAAGGAUGACAUGCAAUUUUAACUGACACCAGGCCUGUGGUCUGAUAUCCAGAGUUGCCCAGAAAAGGAGUUGCUAGUUUUACCUGAUAUUUAUGGUCUAAAAACGACCUACCUGGAAUCCCUCUGGAAUCCCUCCUCCUGUGGCUUCAGGCAUUAUCCUAUCUCUGACCCUCUCUUCUGCCUCUCUCGGCCAUAUUGAAGACCCUUGUGAUUUCAUUGGGGCCACCUGGAUACUCCAGGCUAAUCUCCGUAUUUUAAGGUGUGGAUAUGGUCAAAAGCCAAGUUCAUCAAUAGGAAAUUCCUAAUGCAGGAACUUUACCAGCGCUUUCUAGAUGGAGAUCACGGCCCUGUG
rnacentral:sRNA from 1 species